AUUUUCUGCCUUAUUCUCUGAUAAAAAUGUGGAAAGAGAUUACAUUUGGCAUAUCUGUCAGCAUUACCCAUGAUCCUCCGCCUCCGGAUCCAGGCCGCGCGCGCCCGCGGGUCUCAUUGCGCUCAAACCACUGUCCAGAUCCUGUCAAACGAGUCACCUGUCCGAACAUUGAUACACCUGAUUUACUGAACCCAAAGGCACUUUUAAGAGCCAAUCCAUCUCUAUCCAUCUAUCUAUCUAUCUAUCUAUCUAUCUAUCUAUCUAUCUAUCUAUCUAUCUAUCUAUCUAUCGCAGCCUCUCUGUAUACAGUACAUCUGUCUGUCUGUAUCUGUUUGCGUUGCAAUGGCCUCCAAACGUAAACUUGACUCCCAGGAUCCUCACUACCAAGAGGGGAGACGCGUGGCUCUUGAACUGAAACUAGACCGUGUUCGAGCUGAAGCCAGGACAGCAGCUGUGGAGAGGAAACGUGCACGCUCUGUAGGAGACCCUCCACAGACCUCUAAAAGGGAGUUUUUAGGACAUGGCAAGCCGAGGGGGAGGCA